rnacentral:hammerhead_ribozyme from 1 species
GGCGAGCUGACGAGUCCCAAAUAGGACGAAACGCGCAUCCUGGAU